GGAUUCCCCUAGUAACUGCGAGUGAAGCGGGAAAAGCUCAAAUUUAAAAUCUGGCAGUUCUUGCAGCUGUCCGAGUUGUAAUUUAGAGAAGCGUUAUCCGUGCAGGACCGUGUACAAGUCUUCUGGAACGGAGCGUCAUAGAGGGUGAGAAUCCCGUACAUGACACGGACUACCUGUGCAUUGUGAUGCGCUCUCAAAGAGUCGAGUUGUUUGGGAAUGCAGCUCAAAAUGGGUGGUAAAUUCCAUCUAAAGCUAAAUACAGGCGAGAGACCGAUAGCGAACAAGUACCGUGAGGGAAAGAUGAAAAGAACUUUGGAAAGAGAGUUAAACAGUACGUGAAAUUGUUGAAAGGGAAACGCUUGAAGUCAGUCGCGUUGUUCAGGGAUCAGCCUUGCUUUUUUUUGCUUGGUGUACUUUCUGUUCAACGGGUCAGCAUCAGUUUUGACCACCGGAAAAAGUAUGUGGGAAUGUGGCAUCCUCGGAUGUGUUAUAGCCCAUGUUCGUAUACGGUGAUUGGGACUGAGGACUCAGCACUUAGAUGCUCGGGAUGCUGGCGUAAUGGCUUCAAGCGACCCGUCUUGAAACACGGACCAAGGAGUCUAACAUGCCCGCGAGUGUUUGGGUGGAAAACCCGAGCGCGCAAUGAAAGUGAAAAGUUGGGAUCUCUGUCGUGGAGAGCACUGACGCCCGGACCAGAUGUUUUCGGACGGUUCUGCGGUAGAGCGUGUAUGUUGGGACCCGAAAGAUGGUGAACUAUGCCUGAAUAGGGCGAAGCCAGAGGAAACUCUGGUGGAGGCUCGUAGCGAUUCUGACGUGCAAAUCGAUCGUCGAAUUUGGGUAUAGGGG
rnacentral:rRNA from 1 species